CUUUUAAGAAGGAUCAUGGGACUGUUAUUUACAAAUGGACGAUACCUAGUAUAAACUGUUUAUGUGCAUUUCAAAGUGAUUUUAUAUUUGUGCGAUUGAUUAAGAGUCCUGAUCUCUCUGAAAUCAUUUACUUUUUUUCCUAACUGUAUUUCAAAUUGUAUGUAGAUCCAUAUUGCUAAGCAAAUCAAAGGGCAAGAAAAAGUGUCGACGAUUGAAUGCCCUUCCUAGCCUAAAGAAAACUUCCUUGUUACUCACAUUACUGUUUGUUAUUGUUAUUAUUUUGAUUUCUAACUCCCGUACGUUAAAUUUUGAGUUUGUUCACUAACAUUGAUUCCUUAAAAAAACAAAACUGAGUUGAGUGAUAAGACUGAGAUGGCCACAGCAGAAUGCUUCUUGGAUUAUUCAAUUAAAAAGGAUAUGCAUUUCAGUGACAUUAAUGAAGCUUGUGCUAAACACAGACAUUGCUUUGCUCAUCCGAAAAGUUUUCUUAAGAACAUUUUAAAUUUAAGUAGCAGUUUAGCUUGUAGUUUAUGCCUCAGCCAAAUAUCCCUGCAUUUUUGAGUGGUGAUCAGGCCAUUAUAUAGAUCUACAGUUUUAGAUUUAAUUAAACAUAUGAACUGUGAAUUUUGUCAGAAAAUUAACAUCUAAUAGGCUACUUAGAUAAAUACUUUUAAAUAGAUAUCUGCAAUAUAUAGAUCUAGAUCUAUAUCUCUACUUUUUGCUUGGAAUUUGAAAGAAGUAUUCAGAUCUAUUAAGGUGUAUUAGCAACAAAGGCUAUAUUAAUACUUUUAAAAAUAUUUGACUGCAAGACAACUCUAUAGAAGAUCAGUUUAACUUCUCUUCAUUUAGAUUAAACUAGAUAUAUGAGCUUAUACAAAUCAGCAGCAAAAAAUAUAGUUGUCUUUUCCUAAUCAGCUGCUGAGGCUAAUUGAAAUAUUGCCUCAUAUUACAAGUAUUGAAAAUAAAUAAUUUCACCAUAUCGCUGGUCAAAAUCAGAUUUGGUUAUCUAAAAUUUAGUUUGGCAACCAUUAAAUCUCUAGAGCUCAAUUUCAUUAUCAAAGAUCAAAUUUCAUAUUUGACAAGAAAUGAAGCUACUGGAGAAUUCAAAUUUUGAAGCUGUUAAUUCAGCAUUGUCUAUGGACAUAGAAAACAGCAACACACAUCUUGAUUUCCGUAUUGAGAGCUACUCAUGCAAAAUGGCAGGCAAUGACAAACGUCUUUACAAGACAUUGAAUGAAGAAAAUCGUGAGGCACCAGGAGGGCUACAAGCCUUAUCACCACCUCAAGCCCAUGGCUAUACAUACAGCACAUCCAGCCCUAAUGAUGCCAACAAUUUACUUGUGGGCAGUCUUGAAGAAGGGGGAACGAUUUGUGACACGAUUUCUACCAAGACCCUCUUCUACCUAAUUUCAACUCUGAAUGCAUCUUUCAACCCUGACUAUGAUUUCAGUACAGCCAAAAGUUCAGAGUUCAGCCGUGAGACAAGUCUUGAUUGGGUUGAACAGAAUAUUAACUCUUCACUUUUUGCUGCUGCUGGAGAUAGAUUCGGUGCUUUCAGGCAACAACUGUGGUCUGCUGUUGAUGAGGAAAUAUGUUUAAAGGAUUGCUAUAUCUAUAGCUACAAUCCAGAUCUUUCAUCUGAUCCAUUUAGUGAAGAUGGCUGCAUCUGGUCCUUUAACUAUUUCUUCUACAAUGUCAAACUGAAGAGAAUUGUUUUCUUUUCCUGCAGGGCCACAAGACUUAAAACUGAUUCUCCCCAGAAAUGAUCUGGCUGACUAUGAGAAUGGUGUGGACAUGAGUAUGGACACCACUGAUGAACUUAUGUUCACAACAGAUGGAAGUCCAUAAGUCAUCACUGUUAUAUCAUGAAAAAAAAAAAGAAUUGAAAAAAUAAAUAAAUAAACAAGCCCACUUUAUCAUUUCCAAUAUACAAUCUGCAUCAAGAAAAAUGACAAGUACUUUAUAUGACUUAUAUUUUAAUUCAUUUAUAACUGCACUUGUUUGUUAAUGUGUUCAAUGUCAAUGAAAUAAAAAGACAUUGAAACUGCUCUAUGCUAUAAUUUAGUUUUUCUUUACUAAGCUUUUCCUGUUCAAAAAAUAUUUUUUUUGGAAAUGUUAUUUCAGAAAUUAUUUUUUUUUUCCCACUUUGACAAUGUAAAUAUAAUUUGAGUUCAAAGUUUUUUUGAUGACAGCCUCAUUGCUACAAGAUGAUUAGCUUUGUAGCAAUUUAGAGGAAAAACUGAACUGAUUUUGUCAUCUAUUUGUUGGUUUCUGAGUUUUAAGGAUUAUCAAAAUUUUUACCUGCAUAUCCAACAAUAGCAAUUUGAUUUAUAUGUUUUAAUGGUCAGUGAGUUGUAAAAAAAAAAAAGGUUAUCAGGUUAGUCUAUCUUAUUUUUUCUAAAAGAUCUUUUUUUUUUUAAUUUUAUGAUGCUUUAUUGGAAUUGGGAUGAUUAGCAUUUAUGCUAGAUCAUCAAGCCCUCAAUAACAGACAUCUACUUCUGUUACUGUGUUGUGUUAGGUUGUAAGACCUGCAUGCACAUGCCACUUUCUAUACAUCUAAGCCUUUUAGGGCCAUACAAGUCUGAGACAUCAAUCUAAGAACAAGUUAUUUCAUACACAGAUCAGAAAUAGUAUUGCACUAAAUGCUAUAAAGAUUGAAAAGAAUAUUUUUCAGAAGAGCUGAGCACAUUGAAUUACAAUGAUACAAUUGCAGUUUUCAAUGAUGCUAUGACAGGACUUAAUACUAAAAUAAGACACUUUCUAUAAUACUAAGACAGUUUUCAAUGAUAUAUAUGAUGGGACUGUGUUUGUUAUUGAUUUAAUGACUAGUGUUAGUAGUUUAGCCCAUGCAUGGCAGCUAGGCCUAGUGGCCUUAUAAAUAAUGUUUGAAAAGUGUAGAAAAGUUUUCAACUAUACAUUAUACCUUCUACUAAUUAAUAGUAAAUUAUAAUGAAAUAAAAAAAAAAAUUGGGGUACUGCAUUUAUAAUUUUUCCUUGUCUGGUUUUUUAUGAUUACUUUCCAUAUUAUUUCCAUAAUUAAAGAAAUGUGGGAUGACAAUCAGUUUGGUAGAUUUUAUUUUGUAUUUGACCUGCAGUUGGUUCCAAAUAAGUGGCUUUAUAUACCAUGACAUACCUGCUACUUAGAAUAGUCAUUUGGUUGAGCAGGAUUGGGAACAAUUUCUUAGUAUGCCUCAUAAUCAAAACUGUACGUUCUGGCAGAGGAAAACAUAAUAGAGGAAUGUCUUAGCAGCUGAAUUUUCUAACAGAAAUGGUUUUCUUUGCCCUGAUUUUUUUUUUUUCUUUGGUUGUCAGUUUAUUUUAUACAAUUCAUAUUUUUUUGUUAAAUUAAUAAGAAUAAUACUCCUUUCAGACAUGGUUAUCUUUUCCUCUUCUGUGGCUGAUGGUUAACUAGGGUGUCAUGUGGGCAGCACAAUGACUCUACUUCACCAAUAUGUCAGCUAUCCAUUAGAGUUGGGUGUCAUGAAGAUUCCAAAGCUCAAAAUGGAGAGCCACCAUGCUCCCUUUCUUAAAAUUGACAAAUAUAAUUUUCUAAAAGUCUAUCACCAGUAAAAUUUCUCUUUUUAAUGAAGUCUUUGAAUUUUCUGUCUUUCCAUUGACUUAUGUACUAGAUAUUAAUGGAAAUUAUUUUCUAACUAAAGAAGUGUAUAAACCCUAAGCCCUUACAUUGUACUUACUAACAUUGUUCAAGUACAUAACAAUGAAUACUCUCUGUCCAUAACUCUCAUUAUCAUAGUGUUGUUUUGUUUUCUCAGAUUUAAUUUCUGUUGGACAUAGUCUAUUGCGUGUCUAGCCAUUUGUAUGGUUACCAUGUGGGAUACAUUUUUACCACUGGUAUAUACAUUAUUUUUGCUUCACAAAUUAGAGAAGAGAGUGUUUGUUUGUUUCAUAGAAUUCUAUUUUCCAAAUUAAUUUUUGUUUUCAUUUUCAACACACUCUUUAUAGUAAUAUUUGGCUAUUUGUUCAAAUUAAAAUUUUUUUGCCAUUUUUGUCUAAUUUGAGAUUGUAAUUAUGUAUAUAUUUUGUGUGUCCACGCUAUACUAAAAAACUAUUCUUACUGUAUUAGCUUGUUAUUAUCCUUUUUCUCCUUGUAUAAAACACGUGCAUGCCAUUUUUUGUUCCUUUUUUUUCAAAGAUUUAAUCUGUUCAAUAGUUUAUUCAUUUAUUACUAUUAUAUACUUCUACCUAUAAUUUGUGUGGCAGUAUUGCACAUAUUAUAUGUUAUAUAUAUUGAUCUUUUGUUUAAGUUUAUAGAAAAUAUUUUUUGUUGUAAUGAUUUAUGCUUGUGAGAAUAUUCAGUAUUUAAACUCUCAUUUUCCAUUUGCUGCCAUAGGAUGGUGAGAACUGUACAAAGCCCAUUGAUUUGAACCAUUUGUUAACUCUUAGCUCACUGGACACAAAAUCUAGUUUUGAAGUGUUCAUUAAAGUUUGUUUUUAUUUUGGAAAACUUGUUACAGAAACAAGAAUUGGUUAACUAUCUGAUGUGAACAUAAAAUUCUGUUAAGACUAUUUUUCUUUUCCAGUUAAGUUGGGAAUUUUUUUUUGUACUAAAAUGUAAAUAAAAUAUUUGAGAUGGA